rnacentral:rRNA from 1 species
GACGAACGCUGGCGGCGUGCUUAACACAUGCCAGUCGAACGGAAAGGCCCUGCUUGCAGGGUACUCGAGUGGCGAACGGGUGAGUAACACGUGGGUGAUCUGCCCUGCACUUCGGGAUAAGCCUGGGAAACUGGGUCUAAUACCGGAUAGGAGCCAUUUUUAGUGUGAUGGUUGGAAAGUUUUUUCGGUGUAGGAUGAGCUCGCGGCCUAUCAGCUUGUUGGUGGGGUAAUGGCCUACCAAGGCGGCGACGGGUAGCCGGCCUGUGAGGGUGGACGGCCACAUUGAGACUGAGAUGCGGCCCAGACGCCUACGGGAGGCAGAAGUGGGGAAUAUUGCACAAGGGGCGCAAGCCUGAUGCAGCGACGCCGCGGGGGGGAUGACGGCCUUCGGGUUGUAAACUCCUUUCGCUAGGGACGAAGCUUUUUGUGACGGUACCUAGAUAAGAAGCACCGGCUAACUACGUG